rnacentral:misc_RNA from 1 species
UCCGGCUUAUCACCGGCAGUUUCCUUUGAGUUCCCACCAUUACGUGCUGGCAACAAAGGACGAGGGUUGCGCUCGUUGCGGGACUUAACCCAACAUCUCACGACACGAGCUGACGACAGCCAUGCAGCACCUGUGUUCCCCCCACCCGAGGUGAAGGGUCACGUCUCUGUGACCCAAAAGGGACAAGUCAAGGCCUGGUAAGGUUCUUCGCGUUGCCUCGAAUUAAACCACAUGCUCCACCGCUUGUGCGGGUCCCCGUCAAUUUCUUUGAGUUUUAAUCUUGCGACCGUACUCCCCAGGCGGAGUGCUUAAUGCGUUAGCUGCGACACCGGCCCUUAAAGGGUCGACAUCUAGCACUCAUCGUUUACAGCGUGGACUAC